CUUCAACACAACAGAAACUACAUCAACAAUGACUCUGGUCACCAUUUUCAUCUGGACACUGGUCUGCUUCUGCUUCAGAGGAUCCAGAGGUCAGGUGACUGUGACUCAGCCUCCUGUAGUGACCUUUUCUCCAGGAGACACUGUCACUCUGACCUGUAGAACCAACCCUGCAGUUUACAAAUGGAGUAGUGGAGAUGAGGGUGCGUUCUGGUAUCAACAGAGAUCUGGAGAAGCUCCUAAACUCCUGAUAAAAUAUGCAAAGACAAGGAUAGAUGGGAUUCCUGCUAGAUUCAGUGGCAGUGGGUCUGGGAGUGACUUCAGUCUGACCAUCAGUGGAGUCCAGGCUGAAGAUGCAGCAGUUUACUACUGUCAGAGUUAUCACAGUGGUAAUGUGUUCACACAGUGAUUUAGAGCCGUACAAAAACCUCCUGCACCAAAUGACACACAUCACUGUUGACAUGUCUGAAUGUCCCCUCAAUGCUUGGUUGGUCUACCAGACACACAGGUGUCCCUCAUUUUCACAAAGAUGUUGAUCUGCAUGAACUCUCUCUCAGAAUAGAGUAGGACACUCCCCAAGUGAUCAACAUCCACUGACAUGACAACAGAGUCUUUUAUUUAACUUUGACAUUUCCACUGAAUUCUCAUUCUGCUGAAUCACUGUUAUGAUAGGAUACUACUUUAUUGGU